UACGGAGGGGGCGAGCGUUGUCCGAAGUUACUGGGCGUAAAGGGCGCGUAGGCGGGUUGGUCAGUCCGCUGUGAAAGCCCGGAGCUUAACUCCGGAGGGUCGGUGGAUACUGCCAGUCUUGAAGGUGCUAGGGGGAGAUGGAAUUACCGGUGUAGCGGUGAAAUGCGUAGAUAUCGGUAGGAACACCAGUGGCGAAGGCGGUCUCCUGGGGCAUUCUUGACGCUGAGGCGCGAAAGCGUGGGGAGCGAUCCGG
rnacentral:rRNA from 1 species